ensembl:lncRNA
AGAUCCGGUUACAUCGAGUGAUUCGUUCGCGAACUGGAUAUCACUAAACUUCAGUGUUGUGAACGCGCUCAUAACAGACACAGAAGAGAAGACGAUGCUGAAUUAAGUCGUAGUUUUUGCUAUUUUUGGACCAAAAUGUAUUUUCGGUGCUUCAAAAAAUUCUAACGGACCCUCUGAUGUCACAUGGACUACUUUGAAGUAGGGCUGGGCGAUAUAUCUAACGAUAUGAUCAUGCGCAUCUAGUCAGUAAAUCUGGCGACAUGAAGGUGAGUCAUUAAUGACAUCAUUUUCAUUUUUGGGUGAACUAACCCUUUAAGUGAUUGGUGUUUGUUCAGGUCUAUGCAAUUGCACAUAUUGCUGUGAAGUUCAAUUAAAAAAAAAAUUGUGCCCUCAAAUUUCCAAAAAUGAAAUUUUCUGUGUAAAGAGAAAGUACAGUAGAUUCUUAAAAAGCAAAUUAAUGUAUAGGUCUUUUCAUACUUCUGCUAUCAUGCAUUCUUCAAAACAAUUGCAAUAUAAAUAUACUCCUCCCCAAAAUGAAAAUUUUGUCAUUAAUCCCUUACCCCCAUGUUGUUCCAAACCCUUAAAAGCUUUGUUCAUCUUCAGAACAUAAUUUAAGAUAUUUUGGAUGAAAACCGGGAAAUUACAAUGUCAAAGUCCAGAAAAGUAUGAAAAGAAUCAUCAGAAUAGUCCAUCUGCCAUAUCUUCUUAAGGACUUGAUUAUAAAAUUCUUACUAUGACGUCACCAUACCACCAGUGUGAUCGAACUCUGAAUGACAGCUUUCAGGACAGCAGAAAAAACGAGACAUUCACUUGUCAUGAGUAAAAGUUACUGGAGACAUUUACCAAAAGACUCAAAUCACCAAUGUGACACUUCACAGAAGUGUUGCAUUGCCGCUGCAGUGGAACAGCUCUACAUCCACAGUAAUGUUGAAUUUAGGUAUCAGCUAGAAGUCUUCCUGAGUUUAAAGAUUGGCCUAGUCGUUUACUUUCUAUUUCGUUUUUGGGAUUGUAGUUGUUUGUUUCAGGGUGUAUGUGACUUUACAAUGGAAGUUUAACUGUAUAAACUUUCAAAAUGAAAACAAAAAUAUGAAUUUAAUGAAAUUAAUUAGAAAUUAGAAGAAAGUAGUAAAACCUUAGUAAAAUCAAGUUAUGUAUUUGAGCACUAGAGGUCAUAAAAGAUUCAUUUCAGUCCAGUGUUACUCUGUGAAGUGUGAAGUGAAUUGUAUUUUUUAAAUAAUUUUGUUUAUGUCAGAUAGAGGUUUGUUAAUAUCAAAGGAUAGGUUAAAUGCUUUAUCCUGCACAACAGACAAACACAAGGUUAUUUUGGGUUCAGUCAUUGUAGUACCUUUAUUUGGGAACCUCAACUUGACACACAAACUAGUAAAAUAUCAUUGAUGGAGAGGUAUUACACACAGCAUAAUAUUAUUGUUCCUAUAUAUUGAGCCCUAACUAAAUUAUAGAAGAAUACCAGCUUUCAAUUACAAUAUUCUGUCAUUUUAAAAACCUCCUUUGAAAAGCAUUGGCAGUAGCAAUUCAGAUGAAAGUUAAAAAAAUAAAAAAUAAAAAAAAGGAUGUGAAUGUUAGACA